rnacentral:rRNA from 1 species
CUAUACAUGCAAGUCGAACGCGCAGCGAAAGGUGCUUGCACCUUUCAAGCGAGUGGCGAACGGGUGAGUAACACGUGGAUAACCUGCCUCAAGGCUGGGGAUAACAUUUGGAAACAGAUGCUAAUACCGAAUAAAACUUAGUAUCGCAUGAUACAAAGUUGAAAGGCGCUACGGCGUCACCUAGAGAUGGGUCCGCGGUGCAUUAGUUAGUUGGUGGGGUAAGGGCCUACCAAGACAAUGAUGCAUAGCCGAGUUGAGAGACUGAUCGGCCACAUUGGGACUGAGACACGGCCCAAACUCCUACGGGAGGCUGCAGUAGGGAAUCUUCCACAAUGGGCGAAAGCCUGAUGGAGCAACGCCGCGUGUGUGAUGAAGGCUUUAGGGUCGUAAAGCACUGUUGUAUGGGAAGAAAUGCUAGAAUAGGGAAUGAUUCUAGUUCGACGGUACCAUACCAGAAAGGGACGGCUAAAUAC